rnacentral:rRNA from 1 species
AGCGAACGCUGGCGGCAGGCCUAACACAUGCAAGUCGAACGGAUCCUUCGGGACUAGUGGCGGACGGGUGAGUAACACGUGGGAACGUGCCCUUUGGUUCGGAACAACUCAGGGAAACUUGAGCUCAUACCGGAUGUGCCCUUCGGGGGAAAGAUUUAUCGCCAUUGGAGCGGCCCGCGUCUGAUUAGCUAGUUGGUGAGGUAAAGGCUCACCAAGGCGACGAUCAGUAGCUGGUCUGAGAGGAUGAUCAGCCACAUUGGGACUGAGACACGGCCCAAACUCCUACGGGAGGCAGCAGUGGGGAAUCUUGCGCAAUGGGCGAAAGCCUGACGCAGCCAUGCCGCGUGAAUGAUGAAGGUCUUAGGAUUGUAAAAUUCUUUCACCGGGGACGAUAAUGACGGUACCCGGAGAAGAAGCCCCGGCUAACUUCGUGCCAGCAGCCGCCGUAA